AAGACUAAGGCUGUAAAUGGUAA
rnacentral:siRNA from 1 species